ACCGGGAGGGGAGGUGAUGGAAGCAGCAGCAACACUUCGACACCACCCAGCUUGUCCCCGCCGAGCACAGGUUGUCCCGAGACGACCGGGGAUGGGCACCGGCACCCAGCACCUCACCCCGAGCCGCGCCCGGUGCUGGUGCAGCGGAGGUAUUGCUGAGGGGCGCCGGGCAGAGAGAGGGAGAGAGAGGAACGAUGCAGCUGUGAGCUGGGGAGGGGUGGGGGGUGUCGCUAGAGAAGUGAUAGAAGAACUAACCUGCCGCAGGGAUCGUGAUGGGAGGCAGCAGCAGCUGAUGGAGUAGCAAGGCUGGCAGGAGUUGGGUAGCCCACAUGGUGCUGGCGGCCCCCCCGGCGGCUAGCGGGGAGGAGAUGGCUCCUCGGAAGGACCCUGCGCACAGCCGGUCACUAAAGGAGUCAGAGCGAACCGAGCUGCUUUUUAUUGCGAUGAUCUAAGUUUGUUGUGUGAUUAACUGGAAAGAUCUGGGUCCCAACUCCCUCUUACGGUAGAAAGUUUAUCUCCUUCCUGAUUAUAAGCUCCAUUUAAGUACUGGAAGGCUGCACUGAGGUCUCCCCCGGGUCUUCUCCAUACUGAACAAGCCGAGCUCCCUCAACCUUUAUUCAUCAGAGAAGUCUUCCAGCCCUCUGAUCACCUGCGUGGUCCUCCUUUGGACACACUCCAACAUCUCUGCAUCCCUCCAGUGCUGGGGCCCCCAGACCUGGACACAGUAUUCCAAGUGAGACCUCACAAGGACAGAGCAGAGGGAGACAAUCAGUUUCCUCACCCUGCUGGCCACCCUUCAUUUAAUGCAGCCCAUGAUACAGUUGGCCUUCCAGGCUGCGAGUGGACACUGCUGUCAAGCACACUUGUGUCAAGCUUUUCAUCUGCCAGUUUCAUCGAUGGCUGUUCCAGCAGGACUCCUCCUGCCCCAGGGCCAGGGAUAAAGCAAGACCGUUUACCGGUUAGGAAACUCACCUUUCCUCCUGUGACUCCCCUUGGCCAUCGGCCUGGCCUUUCCAUCACCCUCUUUGGCCAUCUGACAAGUGCCACUUCCCCAAAAUUGUGGCAACUCAGGAGAAUCUAAAGGUCAAGUAUCAGCUGUCUGGUGUUCUGUGGAGACAAACCUCAGUCCAUAGCAAGGCUCGUCCUUUCUUCCAUCGCAGACAAAAUGACUGUAAUUCUUCUAUUGCACUUCAUUUUAACUUCAUGGAAGCAAUGGCACUGGUGUUUGUUUAAAGUCAUGAGGCUGGCCUUCCGACAUGUGGGUGUACAAAAAUAAACACUUCAGGAAAAGUUUUGCCUUAAUUUAAACCAUUUCUUUAUCCCAUGCACCCACCUACUGUCUAUAGCACAAGUAUGUAACAACACAGACAGCAGGGAAAUGUUCCUCUCAAAUUUCCACAAAUAAAUCAGAGCCUUGCAUGUGGACCCUUGCCAUAUGGGUCAUAAAUGGGUCUCCUUCUACAAACCAGUUUCCCUUGCCCAGCUUUACUACCCAAACUGCUGAUAAGCAGCUUUUCUUAACAGUGGGGAUGUUUUUGAAGUAAAAAAUAUAUUCAGUUUUUUCUUUAUUCCCCAAAAAUACAUAUAUAAGUAUAUGUGCUUUUAUAUCUAUAUAUGUACAUAUGUAUGUAUGUAUUUAUAUUCACGCUUCUUUCUUUUCAUCCUAUUUAUGCCCAAUGGCAAAACAAAAAUUUCCCAUUUGAGAAGUGCUGUCUUGGUAAGAAAAAGAAAGGGGACAGUAAGGAGUUGAGAGAGUCUGAAGAAAAUAUUUUGAACAUUUGGUGUUAUGGGAAAAACAUAUCUAUGUAAAAAAAAAAAAAAAGGAAGAAAAAACCUUUCUGAAAUGUGAAGAAUGAAAAUUAUUUCUAGAGGGUUUUUUUUUUUUUUUUUUCCUAGAGACUGUUCUUGUUUUUCUCCAAAGAAUAAUCCUUUACUUGUUGGAGUCCCUUAGAGAUGCACAACCUGUGAAUAUAGGAGUUGUAUUCCCAGUGCCGCUGACCUUGUGUGGAAUCCUUGUCCACUGCAAAUAAUGGAAUAUGGAUAUCUCAGUUUCUGUUUUUCUUCUUGUGCUUUAAGAUGGACAUAAAUAUAAACAAUAAGAAAAAAAAAACCAUAGCACCAUGCUGAGCCCAAAAUAUCCAUAUUCUGUUAACCAAAUAUAUCUGACUUGUCCAUGCAUAUGAUGAGUGACCUUUUUUUGUAUAAAGCACAGAAUCAUGCACCAUUAAAAUCAAGUAGAUUUUUUGCCGCUGACUUUCCUAAGGGGGACUAUUUGGCCUGUAGUCAAAUUUCUCCUGAACUGAAGGAGGGUUUCUGCUGUCUCUCAUGAAGACUAGGAUGCUCCCUAAUGGAUAAAAUAUUUAUCUGUAUGGAUUCCUAUUAUCAAUACACAGUCCUGUAUACUGCCUGAGAGUUAAAGUCAUGGGCAUAGAUCUUUUAGCCAUAGUCCUGAUUCUCUAUUUGUCCAGUUUUGGGAACCUGCUGGACGUCAUCUAUACCUUUUACAUAAUCCUUGCAUAUUUUCCUUUGGUGAAAACUAGUGUAUUCAGAGUGGAAGGCCAGAGAAUGAAGAGAGAUUAGAAAUGAAAAGAUCCUAUAGGUACUACAUUCAGAUGCUACAUUCAUAAGCAGUCAAGGGAAAGGUUUGCAUCUGGAUCUGGGAAUUGAAAAUGCUCUUUGGUCCUGCAUCGUAUACAGCAAAAUGUAGAAUAAUCCUUUUUCUGUGUCUUCUUGCCCUGUACAUUUUACAACUGAAACAUAAUAUUUUAGUUCAGCUCAGUGAAAUUAUACCUUGAAAUGAAAUUCAGUAUGAAGAAAGUCUGCAAAUGUCACGUUUCAUUCUUAGCCUUUCUAAAAGGAAUUCCAUGUCAGGACUUAGCUUGCACAUAGAGAAACUAAAGAGCUAAAUAUUGUAAACAAAGUUGUAGGUUUUAUGUGAGAAUAUUCUGUUAUGUGUCAUGGUUAUAUCUAAAAAAUAUCUAACUAUAUCUAAAAAGAAAAGAGUUACUGUAUAUUUUACCAAAGAUAUAUUGGCUCUGGAUUGCCUACAUUAAUAAGUUUGAAAAAGUUUUAUUUUGGUUGGAAAAGUAAGCAGACAUGACCAAAUACAUAGAAAUUGCUAUUUUUAUAUUUUGUUUUCUGACCAUAACCACAGUUGGAUCUUUUUUUCAGAUGUAACUUGCUACCCAGAAAUGCUAGAUAUUCACAGUUUUGGCAGGAAUCGUCACACGCAAAGAGUAGUACCAAGUCUAAAUUAGCUUUAAAGGAGAGCUUUUCUAAAUGAACUAGUAUCUGUCAUGUGAAUCCAUACUGUGUUCAAAAUAAACCUUUCUACUUUGUAAUAAUUUCUAUGCUAAGGUUCCUAAGGAUGUAUGCUAAGGAUAAGGUUCCUAAGGAAGUAUGCUAAGGAUAAUAAAACCAACAAAAUAAGCGAGCGUGCAUAGUGAUUAUUCAACACUGAGUUGAUUGAUGAAAAAGAUUCAAGCUACUUGAAGAGCAUAAAUCAAAAAAAUUAUGCUUCAUUUUAUAAGCAGCAGCUUUUUUUUUACUGUCCUGAAAGAAAAACCUGAGCUUGAGACUAGGAAAGGAAAAGACAAAAGUAUGGACUGGGAGAUUUAAUGCUGCUUAGAAAGGCAGAUUUAAACAGAAUUUAACCCUGCUAAGGCACUGAGGCAGAGACCAGCUGGUCUCAUGGCACCUUCCAGCUCAUCAGGCAGGUAAAAAAAAAAAAAAAGGUAAAUGGAGAGAGGGAUGGGAAUUGAAAAGAAAAAGAAAAAGAAGCGGAUAACAAGAUCCCAGCACAGGGAUUAGUAUGUGUAGUUAAAUGUCAAAGCUCAGCUGCCCCCUGAGUCCAACAUUUUGGAUUCAGCCAAAAGAAUUUUGCAUGUCAUCAUAUUAAAUGCUGCUGAUCUGAAUUCCUGGUCCCAGAAGGCAAAUUCACCCCACCAGUCAAGUACUUACACCCCCAUGCAGUGAAGCAGGAGAGUUUGACAUCUCAGAUGAGGCUUCUUGCUGAUGAUUACCCACCAGGGAGACUCCAGGAUGAUGACAAGAGCUACACCUCCCUCUGAGAUGUAGGUACUAAUCUACAUGGCAUUCACAGAUAAAAUCCCACAUGGGUUUAGUAGUCUAAACUAUCCAGCUUUAAAAAGCUUCUUUUCCCUCCCGCUUGUGUCAUAGUUUAUGAACAAAAAUUAGUCAGAGACUAUUACCUGGUGUUAUAGGCACAGCGUUUGGCUUAAACCUUUACAGACGCACUUUACUCAAAAGCAGGCUUUUGUAAACAGUCUUCACACCUCAACUGAGCACUUUCAUGGUACAAUCCAUGAAAAAUCAUACAAGAUAUAUGUAAAAAUGUCUAGGUUAUCACAUUAUACACAAAUAUAUGCUCCUGGGGUAUGAAAUGUAUAGUUUUGAAGUCACUGAGGUUAAAAAGGAACAUCAGCAGCAAAGUGACCUGGUUGUGUUUCUUUCCGUAUGUUCUUUUCACAUAUGUUCAUAAUAUUCCAACAUAUAUAAUUCAUAACUGCCCAUAUGCAAACUCUCAGGCACUCAGGUCUGAAUCCUAAACCCUAGUCGGGUAAUUCAGUGUCCACUCCUGCACUCAUUUAGUAGCAUAAAUAUUUUAUGGCUUUCCUGUGUAAAUCACACUGUAACUGUUCUUUACAUAUAUGUUAUAUGUUAAAGAUAAAAUGUCUAAAAAAACAGCUUUUAAGUUGCAGUAUGAAAGAUAUGUAAGCCAUUUAUGGCAUGGUGCCAAACAGCAGCUGAUGCCAAAUGAAUCCUUCUAGAUUAGUUUGGAAAAAACUACUUUCAGUAUUUUGGAAAAACAAAGCAAAACAAAACAAAAAUACCUGUGUAUAUGUAUAUAUAUAUUAUGUAUACCAAGUUGAUUUUAGUAGGAACUAUCUGAUCAAAAUUUAUCAGAUAAAAAUCAGAUAUUUUAACACCUAAAUGCUUUAUUUACAUAGACCUAAGUCUUUCAAGCUAUUUUCAUGCAAAGAUGAUUCUUUUCAGAAAAAUUCCCUGUAAUAUCCAAGGAAAGAUUCUUGCAGUGUGCUGUAUUGUGGUUAAAUAUUCUUAGGACCUGACCUUUCUACUCUAGAAUUCAAAAAAAAACCACCUUCACUCUACUCAUAAGAAAUGUUCCACGUAUGUACUCAGAGUAUAUGGGUUAGGAAAGUUACACUUUUUGUUCAUUUAUUUUGUUUGUUUAUUUGUUUCCAAAUUGAUCAGUUUCUGCAGUGCCAAAAAUUCUAUCACGGGUAAAUGCCAUUGGCAGUUCUAAUGUACUUUGCCUAUAUUAAUCAAGGCCGAAUGUGUUCCUCAAAAACUUUACAAUAGAUUUUUAUUGUUGUUUUUCAAGAAUGUAAGAAAAAAUUUAACCUCUUUUUGACCUUUUUUUCAGCUAAAAUGAAGUUGUGGUACUGGCUGCUGGAAAAACAAACAGAAGCUGAAUACAUUCAUUAUGAGGCAACAACCCCAGAAGCCCUUAAUUUACAUACCAUAGUUACUGAAUUACUUCUCAGAGGAUAGUAGUUCUCCAUAUUAUUUAACUCGUCAAGUGAAAUCUGAGCAUGGAUGAUUAGCUUUCAACUACACAUUCAACAGAAUUGAUAAAUGAUGGCGUAAAUUCUUGCCUUACUGCAUUCUCCUGCCAGACACUCAAGUGACUACUGAAAUAUGAAGUUACAACAGAACCAGAGAAAAUACUUUGUCGAAGUGCAAUAGAUUCUGAAAGAAUUUUUUUCAAGAGUUCUGUUGCAGGAAAGUUGAAAGAUUGAGGCUAACAGUGGAGACCAUACAGGCCACAGAGCUCACAUCUGAAGGCAUCACAGAGAACAAGAGGGACACAUCAGGAUUAUUACCCCUAGUAUGUCUUAUAUAAACUCCAUAUCAUUCUUCAGGACAAAAAGAAGAAAUUGUUGUAUCUGCAAAGUUUUCUAAAUUUUACAUGUAGCCAUUCUGUUCUACAUAGAAACUUCAUAGCUCUGGAAAACCAUGUAAAAGUCUGUUUGGCAUCCUAAUUCACAUGAACGUUCAUUCCACUGUGUUUUGGAAAAGAUAUAAUAGGUCUUUGCCCUAGACUUCAGUCUUCUUCAAUAAUAUAAAAUAAUUGUUGUUCUGUGUGGAACAUUUGAAAAUGUAAUAAAACACAUUCAAAUAAUACAUACUUUAGUUACAGUAUGUUGUUAUUUGUUUUAAAUGUUUAUUGUUUCUCAUCAGAAUUGCAGUUCCCUUAUACUGAAAAUCAUAGAAUCAUAGAAUGGCUUAGGUUAGAGGGGAUGUUAAACAUCAUCUAGUUCCAACCCACCUGCCAUGGACAGGGUUGCUACCCACUAGAUCAGGGCAUCCACAACCUCUCUACGCAACCUGCUCCAGCACCUCAGCACCCUCUGAGGAAAAAGUUUCUUCCUAAAAUCUUAAUCUAUAUCUCCCCUCUUUUAGUUUAAGGCCUUUCCCUCUUUUUCUGUCACUACCAGACCCCUCCUGCUUGUAAGCUCCCUUCAGGUACUGGAAGGCCGCAGUGAGGUCACCCUGGAGCCUUCUCCAAGACGAAUAAGCCCAACUUGAACUUUUCUUCACAGGAGAGAUGCUUCAGCCCUUUGAUGGUCUUCAUAGCCUUCUUGUAGACCCACUCCAACAGCUCUGCAUCCUUUCUGUACUGGGGGCCCCAGGCUUUGAUGCAGUGUUUUGUAGCUGAGAAUUUGCUCUACCAAACUGACUUAUUGUACUUUUUGUAUGUGUUGUAGUUUCCAUGGAAAGAAAUAACGGGCAUUAAGAGCAACCUAUGUAUUUCUAGAGCUAGAAAUAGGAAUGCCAUGGCAUUCCUACAUUUUUUUCAGACAAUUAAAUUUUCUGAGAUUAAAACUAUUAGGCACAGCAUCUCACUAGUACAGGUUUAUCCCUUCAGAAGCUGAAGACUGUACCUCAGAAUUGUCCUAUUCUGUUAUAUGAAUGCCACAGCAUGAUUAGAAGUGGCUAAGAGAAUAUUUAUAAUUUAGAUAUCAUGCAAAAUUUGUUUAAGUAGCACAGUCAGCCAAAUCUGGGUUAUUGAUUCCUUUUAGGGGACUAGUUUCCUAAAUCUAAAAAAAACAUACAGUCUUUGCCUUUUACAUGCUUUGUUGAAUUUAUUACUGCUGAUGACAUCAGAGAGAAGUUCCAAAGUGGAGAUUUGAAACACUCAUAUGAUUGAAAUGUUAUUUUGAAUGCAUUGAAUUUUCAGAACAUCAAUAAAUUCUCUCUUGAAACAUA